GAUGAAGAACGUAGCGAAAUGCGAUAAGUAAUGUGAAUUGCAGAAUUCAGUGAAUCAUCGAAUCUUUGAACGCACAUUGCGCCCCCUGGUAUUCCGGGGGGCAUGCCUGUUCGAGCGUCAUUUCACCACUCAAGCCUCGCUUGGUAUUGGGCAACGCGGUCCGCCGCGUGCCUCAAAUCGACCGGCUGGGUCUUCUGUCCCCUAAGCGUUGUGGAAACUUUCGCUAAAGGGUGUUCGGGAGGCUACGCCGUAAAACAACCCCAUUUCUAAGGUUGACCUCGGAUCAGGUAGGGAUACCCGCUGAACUUAAGCAUAUCAAUAAGCAGAGGA
rnacentral:misc_RNA from 1 species